AUUGAACGCUGGCGGCAGGCCUAACACAUGCAAGUCGAACGAGUGGCGGACGGGUGAGUAAUGUCUGGGAAACUGCCCGAUGGAGGGGGAUAACUACUGGAAACAGUAGCUAAUACCGCAUACCAUCGGAUGUGCCCAGAUGGGAUUAGCUAGUGGGUGGGGUAACGGCUCACCUAGGCGACGAUCCCUAGCUGGUCUGAGAGGAUGACCAGCCACACUGAAACUGAGACACGGUCCAGACUCCUACGGGAGGCAGCAGUGGGGAAUAUUGCAUAAUGGGCGCAAGCCUGAUGAAGCCAUGCCGCGUGUAUGAAGAAGGCCUUCGGGUUGUAAAGUACUUUCAGCGCGGAGGCGUUACUCGCAGAAGAAGCACCGGCUAACUCCGUGCCAGCAGCCGCGGUAAUUC
rnacentral:rRNA from 1 species